GUGGGUGUAGCUCAAUUGGCAGAGCGCCAGAUUGUGGUUCUGGAUGUCGUGGGUUCGAACCCCAUCAUCCACC
rnacentral:tRNA from 1 species